rnacentral:rRNA from 1 species
UUCGCAAUGCCCGAAAGGGUGACGAUGCGACGCCGCGUGAGCGAAGAAGGCCCUAGGGUUGUAAAGCUCUGUCGAGGGUUAUGAAAUAUAGAUGGGUUAAUACCCCAUUUAUUUGACAAAAGCCCAAAAGGAAGCCACGGCUAACUCUGUGCCAGCAGCCGCGGUAAUACAGAGGCGGCAAGCGUUGUUCGGAAUUAUUGGGCGUAAAGAGCACGUAGGCGGCCUUGCAAGUCAGUUGUGAAAGCCUUCCGCUCAACGGAAGAAUGCCAGCUGAUACUACAGGGCUUGAGUACGGGAGGGGAGAGUGGAACUUCUGGUGGAGCGGUAAAAUGCGUAGAUAUCAGAAGGAACGCCGGCGGCGAAAGCGACUCUCUGGCCCGAAACUGACGCUGAGGUGCGAAAGCUAGGGGAGCAAACGGGAUUAGAUACCCCGGUAGUCCUAGCCGUAAACGAUGGGCACUAAGUAGAGGGGUUUU